rnacentral:rRNA from 1 species
UACGGAAUGUGCAAACGUUAUUCGGAAUCACUGGGCUUAAAGAGUCCGUAGGCGGCUUGUUAGGUGAGGUGUGAAAUCCCUCGGCCCAACCGAGGAAUUGCGCUUCAAACCGGCAAGCUUGAGGAGGAUAGAGGUGGGCGGAACUGAUGGUGGAGCGGUGAAAUGCGUUGAUAUCAUCAGGAACACCGGAGGCGAAAGCGGUCCACUGGGUCCUUUCCGACGCUGAGGGACGAAAGCUAGGGGAGCGAACGGG